rnacentral:rRNA from 1 species
CCUACGGGUGGCAGCAGUGAGGGAUAUUGCUCAAUGGGCGAGAGCCUGAACCAGCCACGUAGCGUGAGGGAUGACGUCCCUAGGGGUGGUAAACUUCUUUUAUAGGGGAAUAAAUGAAGGUACGUGUGCAUUAUUGUAUGUACUAUAUCAAUAAGGAUCGGCUAACUCCGUGCCAGCAGCCGCGGUAAUACGGAGGAUCCGAGCGUUAUCCGGAUUUAUUGGGUUUAAAGGGAGCGUAGAUGGGUUGUUAAGUCAGUUGUGAAAGUUUGCGGCUCAACCGUAAAAUUGCAAUUGAUACUGGCAGUCUUGAGUACAGUUGAGGUAGGCGGAAUGUGUGGUGUAGCGGUGAAAUGCUUAGAUAUCACGAAGAACUCCGAUUGCGAAGGCAGCUUACUAAACUGCCACUGACAUUGAGGCGCGAAAGUGUGGGUAUCAAACAGGAUUAGAUACCCGAGUAGUC